rnacentral:lncRNA from 1 species
AUUAUGAUGUGCCGCUUUGUCUCUCCAUCCUCCCUCUCUCUCUCUCCCUCUCUCUCUCACACACACACAUACACACACACUCUCUAUCCAUCAAUCCCACCACCAUCACAACAAUGUAUCACCACCCUUAAAGAUUUGAACCACCACUACUACCAACAUAUAUAUGUAUCUCUAUACUCGAUCUUGUUUUGAACACAUUGUUCCAUUGUACAAAACUUGGGGUUCGAAGUCAUAGGCCUACUAUGGCUGUAAAACCUAAUUGCAUGAAUGGAUCCACGCAAAUCUGCAAGGAUCAAUGCAGAUCACACGAAUUUGUUGAUGCAAUAGUCAACACCGAUCAUGUGACCUGAAAAGAGGUGAAGAUUUGCAACCUAAAGACUUGUUGUGAUUUGGCGAAGGGGGGCCAUCCUCUAUAUUUUUGGAAUUUUUGGUUCAUUUGUGCAAUUUCUGGAUAAGGGUUUAAAAUGCAAUUUUAGGGGUUUGGAUUGCGGCUUGGUCUUUGUGUUGUUCGGAUUGUCAUUUUGUACGGUGAUUAGGGUGGAAAAGUUUAUGGUUUUCGAUUUUUUUCGGAUUUGAAGUGGUUUCAGGGAUGGUUUUGGUUCCUGGAUUUUGGUUUAAACAUGUAUUAACGUCAAUGACAUCAGAUCUGUAUCAUUUUUCUAAGCAUUGAGUUUUGUGGUUGAAGAUCUCGAAGAUUCUUCUAUCGAAAGAGCAUCCAAGGUCGAGAUCUCGAGGUAUGUUAAGUCUUCUUGGUCUAAUAAAGACUCCUUUGAGGAACUACUCUAUGGUUGCAUUCAAUAAUUUGUUCACAACUUGGUAUGCAGGUUGGACUCAAAGAAGUUUGACACGAAAGAAUAUUUUAUUCUUUUCGAAGAAAAAAGGCGACAAUGAUGCAACAACAGGUUGAGCAUGGAGGUUGAGAUUUUGGAGGUAUCCAAAAAAUCAAUCAUUCAACAACUUCAAAUAACUUCGCUAGGCAGGUAAAUACUUCAAAAAAUUAGGAGAUAUACAUUAACAUCAGCAUUACUAAUUUAUGCAUUAAGCUCAAAAGUCUUAAGAGUGCAAGCACGAGGAGAAGUCUUCAAAUAGAGGAAAAAUGUUUAGCAAGAAGAAGAUCUUAGACGACUUGAUGGUAAAAUUAAAAGAAAAUAUAAAGGUAAAUCAGAGAUUAGAUCAGAGGAAGCCUUAAGAAAAUGCUAUUGGUGUUGAAAGGACACCUUAAACCAUACAUACUUUAGAUGAAAGUAGAGAAACAAACAAGACAAAGCAUCAAAACAUACCACCGAAAUUGUUAAUGUUGAUUCAGACCAACUGAAGAUCGUGACGUUACUUAUCAAGAAUGGAUUCUUGAUUCAAAGUAUUCCUAUCACACGAGACAAAAAUAAGGCUUAGUUUCAAAAUAUUAGAAAGAUUGAUAUGAAAAAUGCUUAAAUUGGUAAAAUCAAUUAAUGUUGCCAAGAUACUGAAAUAAGCAAUAUAACGGUUAAAAAACUUGAUGACACUCACAAACUUUUGACUUAAGCUGGAUUUGUCCCUGACCUAAUAAGAAAUGCAUAAUUUAGGGUACAAUAAUAAAAAUGAUCACGAAAUCUUUGAAAAUAUUAAAGGUGAGAAACAUAAUUUUUUAAUUAUAGACUAGGCCGUGAAUGUAAUUAAGGAUUUCAAUACUACAUAAGCAAAAAUUGCUGCUGAAACAUGCAUAUAUAUAUGGAAUUGGUCACAUAAUUAGAACACCCGAUCAUGUUUUUGAUGUUUUAUGGGAAUCCUACACUUGGGGAAAAGACAUGGUUUAUCUUUAGAAUCAUGGAAAGUCUAGAUAUUUCUUCUGAAACACAAAAUACAACUUCCUAUACAUUCAGAUAGUGGCAAACUUUAAUAGAAGAUCAACUCGAGAAAAAUGCUAAACUUCUUUAGAGAUAUAUUUGGCCUAAAUCGUGUAAUGCUAAAUUUAAUGAUUCUUGGAAAUAGAAAUGAAUAUUAAGGUAAUAAAAUAGUCAAAUUCUCUCCUCAGCAUAAUGGAGUUGUCCAGAGGAUAAUUAAGACUAUAAUAAGUAAGAUGCAUGCUAAUCCCUCACUAAUCAUAAAUGGAUAGUCACUCACAAUGCAAUGAUAUAUUGAGUUUCAUAGAAUAUUCAUAUUUUGUAAAGUUCGAUGAGUUUUAAUAAAAAUAUUGACGCCAACAGAAGGUUUGUGGGAUUUGAUUUGAAACCUAGGU